AUUGAACGCUGGCGGCAGGCCUAACACAUGCAAGUCGAACGGUAGCACAGAGGAGCUUGCUCCUUGGGUGACGAGUGGCGGACGGGUGAGUAAUGUCUGGGAAACUGCCCGAUGGGGGGGGAUAACUACUGGAAACGGUAGCUAAUACCGCAUAACGUCGCAAGACCAAAGAGGGGGACCUUCGGGCCUCUUGCCAUCGGAUGUGCCCAGAUGGGAUUAGCUAGUAGGUGGGGUAACGGCUCACCUAGGCGACGAUCCCUAGCUGGUCUGAGAGGAUGACCAGCCACACUGGAACUGAGACACGGUCCAGACUCCUACGGGAGGCAGCAGUGGGGAAUAUUGCACAAUGGGCGCAAGCCUGAUGCAGCCAUGCCGCGUGUAUGAAGAAGGCCUUCGGGUUGUAAAGUACUUUCAGCGAGGAGGAAGGCGUUGUGGUUAAUAACCGCAACGAUUGACGUUACUCGCAGAAGAAGCACCGGCUAACUCCGUGCCAGCAGCCGCGGUAAAAGGG
rnacentral:rRNA from 1 species